rnacentral:tRNA from 1 species
GCUGGAGUAGCUCAUUUGGUUAGAGCGUGUGGCUGUUAACCACAACAAGGUUGAAGGUUCAAGUCUUUCCUCUAGCG